rnacentral:rRNA from 1 species
UUGACUGAGUGGCGGACGGGUGAGUAACGCGUGGGUAACCUGCCUCAUACAGGGGGAUAACAGUUAGAAAUGACUGCUAAUACCGCAUAAGACCACAGUACCGCAUGGUACAGGGGUAAAAACUCCGGUGGUAUGAGAUGGACCCGCGUCUGAUUAGGUAGUUGGUGGGGUAACGGCCUACCAAGCCGACGAUCAGUAGCCGACCUGGGAGGGUGACCGGCCACAUUGGGACUGAGACACGGCCCAA